UGCCCCAGCACACUGGUUGUCGGGAGCCCCGCCUCCGCUCGCGGUUGACAGCUCAGCUGGUGCCGAGCAACUCGUGCCAGCCAGUCGUGUCUCAGCCUGGAGAGUGCGCGCACCGCCGCCCGGGCAGCCGCUGGCUCCAGCUCACGAAACAGCCCCGGGCGCCGCGCCGCUCCGAGUCCAGCCUCCUACUGAGAACAGUCCCUCCCUUGUGCGGGUCGCACGGCUAGCCGCAGGUUCGGCCACGUCAAAUCCAUUUUCUAAAAAAGCAGGGAGCAGAGCUCUCUCUUCGCCGCCGACGCAGAAAGGAGCUGGGGAGGAAAAAGCUGCUGCCUUUUGCGCUGGAGAUUCGUGGGCAAGGCUUCUCAUUUUCCCAGGCUGCUUCCCCUCCCGGGUGAGGAGCGUCCUAAGACUAAGGAAAGAGCCUGGAAAAUGGAGCAGACCUGGACGAGGAUGAAGACUUAGUGCUGGACCAAAAACAAAACAAAACAAAGAUCCCGAAACUUAAAGAAAUUGUUGUGGAUGCACGAUGAUUUUGUAGCUCACUGUAGCUAUUGGGGACUUAGCACUCCAGAAAACAGCCUCUCAGAGUGAUGGUCACUGUCAGUGAAUAGACUUUGAGUGAAGGGUGUAAUUGCAGCCUAUACUGGAAUAAAGUGGAUGUUUCUGUAUCGGUGCCAAGUCGGCCCACACUUAGUCAGCAUGCAGAAGGAGGCUCACCGUGAUGCUCUCUCUCCUCUGGGAGCUUUGCCAAUUAAGCAUCCUCACUUGCAGAGGUUAUAAUGACAGAUCUUGAGAUGAGAAAAAAUGAUAAUUUCACUGUAUUAUAUAAUAGUCUUAACGUUCUGCAUCUGGGGCUUUUACCCUAUUUGCAUUUGAAUAUGUGUUUUUACAAUUCGGGUGCCACAUUG
rnacentral:lncRNA from 1 species